UAGGAUGAAAACACUGGGGCUGAAAUGC
rnacentral:piRNA from 2 species